CUAUGAUUCACCGACUGCAUCACAUCCCAUAAAGUAUCUCAAUGCAGAGCUGAAGCAACUCCCCUUCAUCUUGAUGGCACAGUAGAAGAUAUUCACAAGGAUGCCAGGACAUAUUCUUCUGGUUUAAGUGGAGAAACAUUGGCACUGGACGUCACUGGAGCAAGAUCCUGAAGACUGGGGAGACUUCUGGAAAGGAGGUUGUGAGCAUCACUGUCAUGGCAAGGGCUUAACUUCUAGGAGCUGAUCACACUGAGAAAGAGAACUGCACGAGGCUGUUUCUGCUGCUUGCUGCUUUGAGACUCAACUUGCACUGAAAUGGUUAAAUUCAGCACUUCAUUUUUGCAAGUGCUCUCUUGAAUUAUUUUGGCUUUUGUGAAAUUUUCUUCCCCUAGAUUCAGUUGCUGGAAUAUCUAAAAAACACUUAAACAAGCAUAAAAGAAAUCCAACACAUCCAUGGAUAUUAAACCUGUUGGAUGUUACCUAAUG